GGCGCGGGCGGGGGCGGAGCGGCGGCUGAGGUUGGACGCGACGGCGCAGAGCCCUCUCGCGGCCGCGGCGGCAGCAGCGCCAGCCCCAGCAGCAGCCCGGCCGCCGCUGCCGCCGCCGCCUAGCGCUCCCGCUGCUCAGCUUGACAUGAGUGAGGUGGAUCGGGUGCCCUCGCCCGCCGCGCCGCCGGCUGUGGCGGCGACUGCGCCCGAGGAGAAGAAAGGGAAGGAACCGGAGCGCGAGAAGCUGCCGCCCAUCGUGUCGGCUGGCGCCGGUGCGACUGCGGGUUUGGACAGGGGAUCCAAAGGCCAGAUUUCUACUUCCAGCAGUUUUGUUUCAACUGUUAACCAGAAGAAAGAAGCUGCUGAAAACAGAAGUUCACCUACACAUCUUGUUUUCCCUAACAUCAAGAAUGUGAGAGACCUACCACCAAUUUGCCUUGAUGUUAGACAGAAACAGCGCACCUCUACAGAUGCUUUAUCAUCUGAAAUGAAGACCCCAGUUCUUCCAGAACCCAUCCUUCCCGUUCAGCCAAAAACUAUGAAAGACUUUCUGGAAGAUGUAGAAAAAGCUAAGUCAUCAGGAGAUUGGAAAACAGUACAUGAUUUUUAUCUCACAAUGUUUGAUUCUUUCCCAGAACUAAAUGCUGCAUUUAAGAAAGAUGCCUCUGCCUCGUUUAAUACUAUCGAAGACUCUGGGAUUAAUGCUAAAUUUGUGAAUGCUGUAUAUGAUGCCUUACUUAAUACUCCUCAAGACAUUCAGAAGACAGUAUUAAAGGGAAUCAUUAACAGCCUGUUACGAGAAUGGAAAGGUCCACGAACAAAAGAUGAUCUUAGAGCAUAUUUUAUACUUUUACAGAAUCCUCAAUUUAAUAACACAUCUACAUAUGUCAUCUAUGCUCACUUGCUACGACAGAUAGCUACCUUAGUGGAAGCUGACCAUCAUUUCCUAGUUCACUGGUUUAAAAAAUUAUCCCAGAAGAGGUUCAAACAAUUGGUAGAGAGAUUGCUGCAGUUUAUUUCUUUACGCCUGUUUCCUGCAAAGCCUGAAGAAUUUCCACCUAUAUCAAAGUGUUCCUGGUGGAUCCCAUCAGCAUCUAAAGUGUUGGCUUUACUUAAUACUGCAAACAAUUUGGUUCAUCCUCCCCUUAUUCCUUAUACUGAUUUCUAUAAUUCUACAUUGGAUCAUAUUGAUCUCAUGGAAGAAUACCACACCUGGCAGAGCUUUGGAAAUUCUCACAGGUUUUCCUUCUGUCAGUACCCAUUCGUUAUUUCUAUAGCUGCAAAAAAAAUCAUUAUUCAAAGAGACUCAGAGCAACAGAUGAUAAGCAUCGCAAGGCAAAGUCUGGUGGAUAAAGUAUCUCGAAGACAGAGACCUGAUAUGAAUAUGUUAUUUCUAAAUAUGAAAGUAAGGCGGACACAUCUGGUCAGCGAUUCUCUUGAUGAGUUAACCCGGAAAAGAGCAGACUUGAAAAAGAAGUUGAAAGUUACGUUUGUAGGGGAAGCUGGUUUGGAUAUGGGCGGCUUGACUAAAGAAUGGUUCCUUCUUUUAAUUCGCCAAAUUUUUCAUCCCGAUUAUGGCAUGUUUACGUAUCAUAAGGAUUCAUACUGCCAUUGGUUUAGCAGCUUUAAAUGUGACAACUAUUCUGAAUUCCGAUUGGUUGGAAUUUAUGCAUAGCUUAUGGGACUAGCUGUUUAUAACAGCAUUACUUUGGAUAUUCGUUUCCCCCCCUGCUGCUACAAGAAAUUAUUGAGCCCUCCCAUCGUUCCUAAUGACCAAAGUAUGCCAGUAGGCAUCUGCAGUGUUACCACUGAUGACCUGUGUCAAAUUAUGCCUGAGUUGGCCCAUGGAUUAAGUGAACUCCUGUCAUAUGAAGGCAAUGUUGAAGAAGAUUUCUAUUCAACAUUUCAGGUGUUUCAAGAAGAAUUCGGAAUAAUUAAGUCCUAUAAUUUAAAGCCAGGUGGUGAUAAAAUUGCAGUUACCAAUCAAAAUAGGAAAGAAUAUGUACACCUUUAUAUUGACUUUCUUCUCAACAAAUCCAUCUAUAAGCAGUUUGCUGCAUUUUAUUAUGGAUUUCAUAGUGUGUGUGCUUCAAAUGCCCUAAUGCUGCUUCGUCCAGAAGAGGUUGAAAUUCUGGUGUGUGGAAGUCCUGAACUGGAUAUGCACGCCCUGCAGAGAAGUACUCAGUAUGAUGGCUAUGCGAAGACCGACCUGACUAUACGAUACUUUUGGGAUGUUGUGCUUGGAUUUCCUCUUGAUCUUCAAAAAAAGUUGCUACAUUUUACCACAGGAAGUGACAGAGUACCUGUAGGAGGAAUGGCUGAUUUGAACUUUAAAAUCUCAAAGAAUGAAACUUCUACUAACUGGUUGCCUGUGGCCCACACCUGCUUCAAUCAACUUUGCCUUCCCCCCUACAAGAGCAAAAAGGACCUGAAACAGAAACUGAUUAUUGGAAUUUCAAAUUCAGAAGGUUUUGGACUUGAGUAACCUAGAAGACUUGAAAUAUAUUUUAUAUGUAGCAUUCACUUCCCUCUUACUGUGCCUUUAACCUUUUCAUGUUUCUGUCUCAAAACACCUUGACAAAGCUCACCAACUUUAAAAUACUGAUUUUUUUUAAAUCAAAUAUGAAGUAUGUUCAGUAGAGGCAUGGUUUUCUAAAAACACAACACUGCUUGAGUGAGAAAAAGACCAGAUGGCAGAGACAGGUGUGGGUCCAGUCCCUCUUUUUUAUAGCACUUUAUCAUUCUCCAUAAGUAGUUGUCACAGGUGUUCCACUGGGAAAGCAUCGUGCAGUAAAGAAUGCACAGAUGACAGAGUGGAGCCCAGUGGCACCUUGUGCGCUGCUAGCACACGGUAGCAACACAGAUAGCUACAUUAUCAUUAAUGUAAGGCAUGUAGCCAUAUUUUCAUAUAGCGGUUAAACAACAGUAUAAUUGCAAAUGCAAUUUACAGGGUUUUUUGAUAUACUGGCUUUGGUCCUCUAAGAUUCUUUUCAACCAUUGCUGAAAAGCGUGUAAAUAACUACAUAAUAGCCUGAGAAUAAUGGGAUUUUGAUAGUGCCAUUUAUUGCUAAAGAUUUAUUUUUACAAAGUAAAUUCAGGGUUUUAGAUGUGUAUACAGCUUUUACAAAUCAAUAAAGAUGAUUGUACAAGAGUGUAACUAUUUUCAGACUAAUUGGAUUCAAGGUUAUAUUCUUUUACAUAUUGUUAGUCUGCAUGCAUAUGCGCAGUAAGCUAGUUACUUGGAGCACUCUGUAAUAUUUGUAUAAUCAUUUCUUCUUAAGGGUCAGAAUAUUAUAUAGAAAGGAAGUAGAACUGACUAAUCACUGAUAAAUUAAGUCAAUCACAAGCACAAAAAAAGAGAACUGUUUUUAUAUAUACUUUGAUUGAUGUACAAGACUUAUUUCUAAUACUUUUUGAUCACCAGUUGUACUGAAACACUAAUUUUUGGAAAAAAGUAGGAUAAGAUAUUUGACAGAAGUGAAUACAAUAAUAUUUGUGUCCAAAUGACGUAGCUUGGUGUAAAAAUAAAGUUCAACAUUUUGGCCGAAAUGUUUGUUUUCCACUGGAUUCUGAAUAUAGCAAAUUCAAAAGUACCCUUUUUGGAGUUUCUUAAUAAAGUAGCAUGUAAAAGGAAACUGCAUUUUUUAAGUCAGACAGUAAAUGGUUUUCUUUUUAAUUUACAGCAAAUGAAGCAGUUUUAUUAGCAUGUUAUAGAUAUUUCCAAAUCAAGAAUUCUCUAUUAUACUUUGAUAGCUUUCCUUCAGAAAACUCUGAAUAUAUAUUUGCAAUAAUAAUGAAGCCAGCACUUAGUACCAGCACAUGGUUCACAUGCAAAUAAUACUUUCCCAAAAUUUUUUCUGAGUUACACUACUAUCUUAUUACUAUGCUUCCUACACCCCACCAGCAGAAUUCUUUUAGGGUGGAGGAACUAAUCAGCUUGUUCUGCUUUUUUUCUGAAGCCAACUUGUGAAUCUUAGAGGAAAAGGAGUUAGUUAGUUUACUGUUCUCUUGAGACAGAAGUGACUCCGCUUUUCCACUUGGACAUACUAUUUAAAGGAUUUUUCUUACAAUUUUUGGAACACCUAAGAUUUAAAGGCAUGUUGGUUUUGUUUUGUUUGCUCUGUUUUUAAUCCAUAUGCAAAUAAAACUGCUUCUCUCUUAUACUGCUUGAACUAGAAAGUAAGAUUUUAACAUAGGUUACUACUAACUAAUAAGCACAAAAGAAUCAUGUGUAAGAAACCAGAUUUAAGUGUUUUAAAUAAAAUGUAAACAAAGUUUUUAUUUGGUAGAGACGGAAAAAUUGUGUUGGUUUGGUCUGCAUGUUUAAUGAUGUGCUUUGUAUAUCAAUAGCUAUGUCAUUUUUAAAUAAAAGUACACAAGCCAAAUUUUUAAAUGACAGAGUCCAUAAAUAACUGGAAAAUUUUUGUUGUCUGUUGUUGAAAUUUAUAAUCAUUUAUCACUAAAUUGCACAUUGCCUUUAUUUAUUUAUGCUCUGGUUUUGGUUUACAGUGUAAUUAAUACCUCAUUUUUUAAAAGAACCACUACUGUUACAUUUCGUUAAUUUAAACAGCUAGAAAAUUCAUAUAGUUGCUUUUUUUUAUAUAUAAUCUGUUAAUGAAUUCUUGAUUUUUGUAUCUGCCACAGUAAAUUAAAGCAUUGCACAGUAUUUAUCAGUAUUUACAAAAUGUCCUGUCCUUUUUUAAUCUUUCCUUAAUUAAUCAUAUUUUUGUCUGUAUGAUCAGAAGUUUUAACAGUCCCUCUUUUUUGUACAAAUGUGUAUUGUAUUACGUUGUUAAUUUCUGGAUAAAUUUUUUUCAGAUAUUAAAGUUAUAUAAUCAGCCAGGCUUCAGUUCAUUUUUUGAACAUUAGGCAAUGAAUUAAAACCACAAGUUUAAAAUAU